AGAAAUUUAGGUUAAUUAAACCAAGAGCCUUCAAAGCUCUAAAAAAGGACACACCCCCUUAAUUUCUG
rnacentral:tRNA from 1 species